rnacentral:rRNA from 1 species
GACGAACGCUGGCGGCGUGCUUAACACAUGCAAGUCGAACGGAAAGGCCCUGCUUUUGUGGGGUGCUCGAGUGGCGAACGGGUGAGUAACACGUGAGUAACCUGCCCUUGACUUUGGGAUAACUUCAGGAAACUGGGGCUAAUACCGGAUAGGAGCUCCUGCUGCAUGGUGGGGGUUGGAAAGUUUCGGCGGUUGGGGAGGGACUCGCGGCUUAUCAGCUUGUUGGUGGGGUAGUGGCUUACCAAGGCUUUGACGGGUAGCCGGCCUGAGAGGGUGACCGGCCACAUUGGGACUGAGAUACGGCCCAGACUCCGACGGGAGGAAGCAGUGGGGAAUAUUGCACAAUGGGCGGAGGCCUGAUGCAGCAACGCCGCGUGCGGGAUGACGGCCUUCGGGUUGUAAACCGCUUUCGCCUGUGACGAAGCGUGAGUGACGGUAAUGGGUAAAGAAGCACCGGCUAACUACGU